rnacentral:lncRNA from 1 species
GCCGGCUCCGCGGCGAUGGCGCUCUAUAACCCCUACCGCCACGGGAGCGUCCCCGGAUUUCGACAUCCACCCUCGACCUGGGCAAGCUCCAGAGCCUGCCGGAAGGCUCCCUCGGUCGCGAGUAUCUCCGUUUCCUGGAUGUGAACGGGAGAUCGUGGUGAAAUGGUUUGAGGCUGUCCAGACUGGCCUGCCCAUGUGCAUCCUGGGUGCAUUCUUUGGACCGAUCCGACUUGGCGCUCAGAGCCUGCAAGUGCUGGUCUCGGAGUUGAUCCCAUGGGCCGUUCAGAACGGGCGCAGAGCCCCAUGUGUCCUCAACCUGUACUAUGAGCGGCGCUGGGAGCAGUCCCUGAGGGCUCUGCGGGAGGAGCUGGGCAUUACAGCACCACCCAUGCACGUCCAGGGCUUGGCCUGAGCUCCUGAGCCAGCGGGGCCUGGCCUACCUCCCCCAUCCCCUGCUUCCCUUGGAGGCAGAGGGCUCCCUUGACUACCUUUGUUCCUCUUCUUUGAACACUGACCCUUGGACAACAUUUAUCAUAAUUUGUCAUAACCACUGCUGAGUGGCCUUGAGGACGAACCCCGCAGGGAGCAAGCAGUACAGUGGCAUUCCCAGGGGGACCAGCAGCUACCCAAGGAGAACCAUGCAUGAACAGUAUCAGUCGUCUGGGCUCAUGCUGGGAUGUCGCAGUGCUCCUGUUGCAACUCCUCCCAGCCAGCCAGGUUUGCUGGGGGCCAGGCUGGGUGUCCUCACAGGAGUGAGGGCUACACCCAAUUCCAAAAGCCUGAGAAGAGAGAAGUGGAGGGGGAGGCGAGUGUGUGAAUAAAGGCUCCCAUCAGGU